rnacentral:rRNA from 1 species
UACGUAGGGUCCGAGCGUUGUCCGGAAUUACUGGGCGUAAAGAGCUCGUAGGUGGUUUGUCGCGUUGUUCGUGAAAACUCACAGCUCAACUGUGGGCGUGCGGGCGAUACGGGCAGACUUGAGUACUGCAGGGGAGACUGGAAUUCCUGGUGUAGCGGUGAAAUGCGCAGAUAUCAGGAGGAACACCGGUGGCGAAGGCGGCUUGCUGGGCCUUACCUGACGCUGAGGAGCGAAAGCGUGGGGAGCGAACAGG